UUGGACCUGAUAUCAGACAAGAUUACCC
rnacentral:rRNA from 1 species